GGUGGCUGAGUGGUAGAGCACUUGCCUUGCAUGCAUGAGACCCUGGGUUCGAUUCCUCAGCACCA
rnacentral:tRNA from 1 species